UGGGGAAUAUUGCACAAUGGGCGCAAGCCUGAUGCAGCCAUGCCGCGUGUAUGAAGAAGGCCUUCGGGUUGUAAAGUACUUUCAGCGGGGAGGAAGGCGAUAAGGUUAAUAACCUUGUCGAUUGACGUUACCCGCAGAAGAAGCACCGGCUAACUCCGUGCCAGCAGCCGCGGUAAUACGGAGGGUGCAAGCGUUAAUCGGAAUUACUGGGCGUAAAGCGCACGCAGGCGGUCUGUCAAGUCGGAUGUGAAAUCCCCGGGCUCAACCUGGGAACUGCAUUCGAAACUGGCAGGCUAGAGUCUUGCAGAGGGGGGUAGAAUUCCAGGUGUAGCGGUGAAAUGCGUAGAGAUCUGGAGGAAUACCGGUGGCGAAGGCGGCCCCCUGGACAAAGACUGACGCUCAGGUGCGAAAGCGUGGGGAGCAAACA
rnacentral:rRNA from 1 species